CUUUUUUCUCCGUAUUCCCUCCCCUCUCCUAGUUUUUCUAGAUGAAUUUGACAAUAUUGGCCAGUCUUUGUAUCUACUGCAGAAGAAGAACUGUAUAUCAUAAGGCAUCACAAAAUCAUAGCCUGCAUUUCAGAGACUUCAUUAAGGAGACACCAGGCUUAUUCAAGAGCUGAUUACUGGCACCUGAUACUCAUUUGCUGAUGACCAACCAACUCAUUCACUGGCUCCAGAGAGGAAACCAGCUAUAAAAGCCAUCAAGAAAGCACAGCUGGGGGAGAGAGGAAAGGAGAAAGUUUGAGCCAUCUCCUGCUCCCCACAUGGACCUUCUCUGCAGCCCCAGACAAGUGUUGUGGUUUUUGUUAUUUGCUAGUUGAUGCUUCAUACCAAAUCUGUGUUAGAGUUUCAGUUAGUGUACUGUUGCUUUGGUCCAACCUAGAUAGUUAAACUCAAUAUUGCUGAUGCUUUUAUAGUCCUUCAUUCAAUAUUGGUUGUUUACUUUAUAGUUUGUAGGGAGGAGGGUGCCAUUUCUUGUUAACUCUUUUUCUCCUGAUUUGGGGUAAGUUGGGUAGUUAAGGAAGUAUAUUGUCUUUUUGUUAUUUAUUUUCCCUGUGUUAGGUAAGUUAGACUUAAAAAUGGAGUAAGCCACUGUUUUGUUUGUUAUUUUGGCUAUGCCCCCUCCUGAAGCCUUUUUGCUUUGUUCCUGUUACUCCUGCAUGUAAUAAAUCAAAUUAAAGUGGAUCCUUUAGUGCAGGGGUCUCCAACCCUUCUCCUGGAGAGCUACUGUCCUGCUGAUUUUUAGAUACAACCCCAAUCAAACACACCUGAACCAGCUAAUCAAGGUGUUCAGGGCUACUUGAUAAUUACAGACAGGUGUGCUGGAGCAGGGUUGAAACUGAAGUCUGCAGGAUGGUAGCUCUCCAGGAGCAGAAUUGGAGAUCCCUGCUUUAGUGAUUGGCAGUGUUCUUUAGGGCUGGGACUGGGAUUAAAGAGGCUCCAUGGCCCUGUCCCAAAUGGCACACUCUGGACUUGUGGACUUCCUCAGAGUCCACACUUCGGUGACGUCAUGUAGUGCAGACCUAUAGGGCCCUUGGCGCGAGUCCACGAGGGCACAUUGAGAGGUAUUU
rnacentral:lncRNA from 1 species